AACGACUGUCACCGCUAAACCUGACCUUUUUUUGCAUUCAGCUUGUAUACCGUCGUCGUCAGGUAACUUCUAAAAAACUAAAAGUUAGCGAAAGAAUUUAUGAAUUAUAAUGUCAGAUCAGGAAGCAGCUUAUAAAAAGGGGAGGAUGGGUUACAAUUAUAAAUCUUAAUUACGGAGGAUCGUUAGAAUUAACCGAUCUGAAGGAGGACUUGAAAGUAAUUUUAAAUAUACAAAUUAUAUGAAUAAGGCUCUGAAAUGUG
rnacentral:rRNA from 1 species